UCUUUAGUCUAUACCCUAACACCCUGAAUGGCCCAAUCUCAUCUGAUCUCGUAAGCUAAGCAGGGUCAGGCCUGGUUUGUACUGGGGUAGAAGGAAUCUUCAAAGGAGACUACUCAGAGACAAGGGGG
rnacentral:rRNA from 1 species